rnacentral:rRNA from 1 species
UACGAAGGGGCUAGCGUUGUUCGGAAUCACUGGGCGUAAAGGGCGCGUAGGCGGCGCAACAAGUCACUUGUGAAAUCUCCGGGCUUAACCCGGAGCGGUCAACUGAUACUGCGGGGCUAGAGUGCGGGAAGGGGCAACUGGAAUUCUUGGUGUAGCGGUGAAAUGCGUAGAUAUCAAGAGGAACACCUGCGGCGAAGGCGGGUUGCUGGGCCGACACUGACGCUGAGGAGCGAAAGCAUGGGGAGCGAACAGG